GUAGUCCACGCCGUAAACUUUGGAUACUAGGUGUGGCGGUCUAUACCAACGACUGCUGUGCCGAAGCUAACGCAUUAAGUAUCCCGCCUGGGGAGUACGGCCGCAAGGCUAAAACUCAAAGGAAUUGACGGGUCCCCGCACAAGCGGCGGAGCAUGCGGCUUAAUUCGAUGCAACCCGAAGAACCUUACCUGGGUUUGACAUCACGGGAAAAGCUGUAGAAAUACAGUGUCCAUUAGGGCCCGUGACAGGUGGUGCAUGGCUGUCGUCAGCUCGUGUCGUGAGAUGUUGGGUUAAGUCCCGCAACGAGCGCAACCCUUGUCCUAUGUUGCCAGCAGUUCGGCUGGGGACUCAUAGGAGACUGCCGGGGAUAACUCGGAGGAAGGUGAGGACGACGUCAAGUCAUCAUGCCCCUUAUAUCCAGGGCUGCACGCAUGCUACAAUGGCCGGUACAACGGGCAGCGACCCCGCGAGGGUGAGCGAAUCCUAUAAAGCCGGUCCCAGUUCGGAUUGAAGUCUGCAACUCGACUUCAUGAAGCCGGAGUCGCUAGUAACCGCGGAUCAGCAAAGCCGCGGUGAAUACGUUCUCGGGGAUUGUACACACCGCCCGUCAAGUCACGGAAGUCGGCAACACCCAAAGUCAGUGGCCUAACCUUCGGGAGGGAGCUGCCUAAGGUGGGGUCGGUAACUGGGACU
rnacentral:rRNA from 1 species